GGAAAGGGCCUUUCAGGCAUCCUCUCCUAAAACUCUCCGGGCCGGUCCUCUUUGGAUCGGCCUUUUUUUGUCUCAUG
rnacentral:sRNA from 1 species